rnacentral:misc_RNA from 1 species
GUUUACUGAAAUGUGACGGGAGAAGCAACCAGUUGCUAUCAUUACAUCGCCUGCAAUAAUUGUAAAAGCUCAAAGAGCUAUUCAAACGAGUGGAAAACUGUUAAAAUAUCAAUGGAAUCCAUUUAACUCUUCGAGAAUAUCUACUUAGUGAUAGACAGUGGAUACAUUUUUAGAUGAAAUUUAUAUUUUAUAUUUUACCCCCUAAAAAAUUCACAAGCAUUUCAGAAGGAGGACGAACACACUCAAUCUUGAAUUUCACCUGGUGGUUCAAUUUGAUAUGGUGCUCCGCAAGCUAUCAAGUGGCAGUGAGGGCAGCAGUCUAGUGGGCACUGUCAGAAAAAUAUCGUGUGAUUGUUAUUGGAGUAUUUGUAAUACGCCUCGGAGGCCACAUGCCAGGGAGCGACGAGUAAAUAUUCCUAAUGCGAGCUAUUUGUAGGUAAAGACUCGGAGAAUCGGGAAUGAGCGAGCCGUGCAUCGCCUGACAGCAAUGCAGUCGAAGCACACACACACAGCUAAAAGUAAUAUAAGUGCAUAGCUUUUAUGUGAAUGGACAUUCCCGUAGACUUUUAAGCUGUCAACGGAACAUUAGCCAUUCCACUGGCUUCGGUGGAUUCCAUGCCGCCUGCCCGCUGUUGCAUCAUUGAGCGGUUCCAUAAUUUACAUUUCAAUUUUAUAAAAUUGACUUUUCAAUGCAAUAAGUGACAGCUAAAAGCAGAAAUUUAGAUUUUCGGCUGCCACGUGGUAGCUAAGUAAAUACCCUGCAAAUGCUGAACUCACUGUAAAUUUCUUCCAGCAGAUGUUAGAUGCUUUUGGGGUUUGCAUAUUCGAAACACGGACUCACCCUUCUCAAGUCUGUGGGA